rnacentral:ncRNA from 1 species
AUACGUGCUCCGGGGUCGGUGUAAGUCCGAACCGGCGGUUAUAGUCCGCGACCCGCGAGCCAUGGGAUGUCCAAGCAAUUGGAUGUUCAAUGGCAGACGGUUGAACUGGUGAAAUUCCGGUACCGACAGUUAAAGUCUGGAUGGGAGAAGCACGUAC